CGGGUGAGUAACACGUAUCCAACCUGCCGUCUACUCUUGGCCAGCCUUCUGAAAGGAAGAUUAAUCCAGGAUGGCAUCAUGAGUUCACAUGUCCGCAUGAUUAAAGGUAUUUUCCGGUAGACGAUGGGGAUGCGUUCCAUUAGAUAGUAGGCGGGGUAACGGCCCACCAAGCCUUCGAUGGAUAGGGGUUCUGAGAGGAAGGUCCCCCACAUUGGAACUGAGACACGGCCCAG
rnacentral:rRNA from 1 species